rnacentral:rRNA from 1 species
UACAGAGGGUGCAAGCGUUAAUCGGAAUUACUGGGCGUAAAGCGCACGCAGGCGGUCAUGUAAGUCGGGUGUGAAAUCCCCGGGCUCAACCUGGGAACUGCAUUCGAGACUGCAUGGCUAGAGUACGGUAGAGGAGGGCGGAAUUCCCGGUGUAGCGGUGAAAUGCGUAGAUAUCGGGAGGAACAUCAGUGGCGAAGGCGGCCCUCUGGACCAGUACUGACGCUCAGGUGCGAAAGCUAGGGGAGCAAACGGG